GCCCAAAACCGUUUACUACCUUUGCAAAUUUUAUUUGAAAAUUUUUAUAUUUUCGAGAUAUUAAAAAUAUAAAUCUAUGAGUCGAGUUUGUGGAGAAUUAUCUAGUCGCGCCCCUAGCUAGAUGUAUGACUCUAAAUUCUAGGUUAUACCUAUAGAAAUAAAGUUUUAUAUUCCAAAAAUAUUUUUAUAUAAAUUUGGGCCUAAAUAAAUUUAUUUACUUAAAUAUAUUUAUCAUGGACAUUAUAUUAAUUUUGGAUUAAGAAUAAAAUAUUUUCAUAAAUUUUGUUAGUGUUGGGCUUAUUGUUAUUAAUGUGCCAAAUUCUUUUGCAAUGAUCCUAAAACAAUUAUUCAAGUUUCAACAUUUAUAGUUUAUUAAUUAUUUCAAGGAUUUGGAUACCUUAUUUUCGUAUCUGCAAAUUAACAAUUUCUACUCUAUUUAUUUACAUUUGUUUAAAGAAGUCUCCAAGCCAGCCAUUCCUAUUUUUAUUCUUAUCAGAUAUCUAACCGCCCUAAUUAGAUAAAUGACUUUGAACUAUAGAUUAUAUUUAUAAAAAGAUACAAAUUUAUAUUAUCAAAUAUUUUUAAUAAAUAUGUUGGGCCAUAGUUUUUAUUCUUUUUCUAUGAUAAUUGGGUUAAAAUUUUAUUAUUUGAAAGCCCAUUUAUCAUCUUUAAAGCCCAAUUAUUAUUAUAAGUCUAUAUGUCUUUCUUUAAUUAAAAUGAGAUGUUACGUGGUUCAGUUUUUCCUUAGCCACAUAUUCGGAUUUAAUCACCUUCAGUCACCUAAUUUUAUUCAGCCAUGUAUCACUCACUGCUAUCACAUUUAAAUUCACCCAAAUAACCUGCUAGGUUUCAUUUCAUCAAAAUUUAGGUUUCAUUUCAUCAAAAUUUUCCAAAGCACAAAUUUCAUUCACGUUAACAGACUUCUCAUUUCUGAUAUUUCCUUCACAAAACUUCAAUUGGCAAUUUUAUUGUUUCUGUGAGAUUUCAUGUUUUAAUUCAUCACAGCAAAUUACUACGUUUUUCUUUCAUUCUCAUUUAUUUUGUGAAACAAAACAAGCCCAUUAAACCAAACCCCUCUGUACAUAUGCACAUAACCAAAAUUCCUUAAAAAGAAAAUCUUUUAUAAGAAAUCAUUUUGGAUAAAUUCCUUUACGUAAGUAUUUGACAAACACUACAGUAGCAAACUUUGAUCAGCAAACUUUGAUUUUAUCUUCAGCUAUAUUUUAUUCUGAAACUUAGAAAGCAAGUGUAAAUUUCCUCAGCCACCAUCUGUUAUCAUCUGCAGCAAAUGUUGAUUUUUGAUUCCUCCACAGCAUCAAACUUUGAAUUCUACAGCAGGAAAUUUGAUUUCUUUCACAUUCAAAACUUUGAAUUCUACAGCAUCGAACAAGUAUUUACUUCUCAUUGCUGCCGACGUAACUUCUCCUAUUUAUACCUCAAUCCAUCAUCCUCAAUUCAUCAUCCCCAAUUCGUUUUCCUCAUUUGUUUUCUUACACCAACUUCUCGUCUGUUCAUUUUCGCUCAAGUGGUGCGGCGCGACUAGGAUAUGAAUUUUAAUUGUAUUACUCAAGUUAGCAUUCAAGUUGAAGUUCAAGUUCAAGUUAAAUUUCUAGUUUCAGGUGAUUGAUAUCGGAGGCACGUGGAGAGUCGAAUGGGCGCGUCGAAUCUAUUUAAAGAUAAAUGUUUCCUAAAACAUAUUAUGUUAUUUCAUGUGAUAUCUCUUGAUUAUGUAAACUCUGAAAUUCUAUACUAUUUGAGAUUUGUGUGUGAUUUGUUUAAAUAAAUGUUAUUAUAUUAUUUUAAUGUCA